AACGAACGCUGGCGGCAUGCCUAACACAUGCAAGUCGAACGAAGCCUUCGGGCUUAGUGGCGCACGGGUGCGUAACGCGUGGGAAUUUGCCCUUGGGUUUGGAAUAACAGUUAGAAAUGACUGCUAAUACCGGAUGAUGUUUUUGGACCAAAGAUUUAUUGCCCAAGGAUGAGCCCGCGUAGGAUUAGCUAGUUGGUGGGGUAAUGGCCUACCAAGGCGACGAUCCUUAGCUGGUUUGAGAGGAUGAUCAGCCACACUGGGACUGAGACACGGCCCAGACUCCUACGGGAGGCAGCAGUGGGGAAUAUUGGACAAUGGGCGAAAGCCUGAUCCAGCAAUGCCGCGUGAGUGAAGAAGGCCUUCGGGUUGUAAAGCUUUUUUGUCAGGGAAGAAACACCGGCUUUAACACAGUCCGGGAAUGACGGUACCUGAAGAAUAAGCACCGGCUAACUACGUG
rnacentral:rRNA from 1 species